rnacentral:rRNA from 1 species
UACGUAGGGGGCAAGCGUUGUCCGGAUUUAUUGGGCGUAAAGCGCGUGUAGGUGGCCAUGUAGGUCCGCUGUGAAAACUUGAGGCUCAACCUCAAGCUGUCGGUGGAAACCACAUGGCUAGAGUCCGGAAGAGGAGAGUGGAAUUCCUGGUGUAGCGGCGAAAUGCGCAGAUAUCAGGAAGAACACCAAUGGCGAAGACAGCUCUCUGGGACGGUACUGACACUGAGACGCGAAAGCGUGGGGAGCGAACAGG